AUAGAGAGGAACCGGUUUCCUUGGGGGGCCAGUCCCCCCGUCUCUUCACCCGUGUCUACCUCCCUUUGUUGCUUUGGCGGGUGGGGGGAUUUACCUCUAUUUGUCGGCAGCGGGUCUUCAGGAACGCUCCGGCGGAUGGCCCCCGUCAGAAGCCCAGUAAAUUCUGUUUGUCAGUGGUCCGAGUAGAAAACCAAAUCGUUUA
rnacentral:misc_RNA from 2 species